rnacentral:lncRNA from 1 species
CAUAAUAUAAUGCUACUUUAAAAACAUGUUUUGCUUUAAAAGCACGAAAGAAAUCCUCAAAAGCAGUGUACUUUCUGGGGUAGCCUUUUGUGUAGUGUCUUCUUUGGAACUGUAGAAUGUUGUUGCAUAUUUGUUUUCAUAGUGCAUGUAUGUUAUUGUAUGUUUUUGAAGUUUAUCAUCUCUAAAUUUCAAUACGUACAACUUCAAUGCUACAGAAUUUUUCAAUCUUGUUUUUGCGAGCGAACAUGAAAAUAACAUCAGGUAGAAAUCUACGCCAGUGUGUUAUAUCCAUCUGUUUAGGUAUCUACAACAGCAUUGUGUGAGAAAGGGAAAAGAGCCCUGUCCUUGAAGUUUUAUCUCACCAGAAGUACAGCGUUGCCUGUUGAUGAUUUCUCCAGUUCAGCUUGGAGGACGUGAUCUUUAACAAGAAUCCUCUGAGAGCUAAUCAGUGUCAGAGCUGCUGUUGGGAUUAGUGAUGAGAAGUUGCUGUGAGCUUCUUGGCAACUCUUGUGCAACCCUGGAUUGCUUGUUGUCAACAGAAAGAGAGAUUUCUGCCUCCUUCACUACACCUGGUGAUGAACUGAAGCCCAUUCGAGCAGAUCAUCAUGAAACUGUGCUGGAACAGAUUUGGGGCUCUGAAUUUGGAACAGUUUUUGGUUAUAUGCUUCCUGAAACUUGGAGAAUACCUGCAAUAAAUAGGAUUGGCCAUGAGAAUUUGUAACAUUCCUAUGGAAAUACAGUGAUGGGGCCGCUGAGAAGUUACCCUCUUUUGUACAGGUCUGUAAACUCUGCCACAUUCUGACUAUUUCAGCAUGUGGAUUCCUGUGCUGUUUUGUUAUCUUUCUUUUUUUUUU